GAUGAACGCUAGCGGCAGGCUUAAUACAUGCAAGUCGUGGGGCAGCAGGUUUGUAGCAAUACAGAUGCUGGCGACCGGCAAACGGGUGCGUAACACGUACGCAACUUACCCAUUACUGGUGAAUAGCCCAGGGAAACUUGGAUUAAUACACCAUAACAUAUAGAGAAGGCAUCUUUUUUAUAUUAAAGCUUCGGCGGUAGUGGAUGGGCGUGCGGUUGAUUAGAUAGUUGGCGGGGUAACGGCCCACCAAGUCUACGAUCAAUAGCUGAUGUGAGAGCAUGAUCAGCCACACGGGCACUGAGACACGGGCCCGACUCCUACGGGAGGCAGCAGUAAGGAAUAUUGGGCAAUGGACGAAAGUCUGACCCAGCCAUGCCGCGUGAAGGAUGAAGGUCCUCUGGAUUGUAAACUUCUUUUAUCUGGGGCGAAAACCUCCCUUUCUAGGGGGCUUGACAGUACCAGUAGAAUAAGCACCGGCUAACUCCGUG
rnacentral:rRNA from 1 species